rnacentral:rRNA from 1 species
AUUGAACGCUGGCGGCAGGUUUAACACAUGCAAGUCGAGCGGGGUGAUGGUGCUUGCACUAUCACUUAGCGGCGGACGGGUGAGUAAUGCUUAGGAAUCUGCCUAUUAGUGGGGGACAACAUCUCGAACGGGAUGCUAAUACCGCAUACGUCCUAGGGGAGAAAGCAGGGGAUCACUUGUGACAUUGCGCUAAUAGAUGAGCUUAAGUCGGAUUAGCUAGUUGGUGGGGUAAAGGCCUACCAAGGCGACGAGCUGUAGCGGGUCUGAGAGGAUGAUCCGCCACACUGGGACUGAGACACGGCCCAGACUCCUACGGGAGGCAGCAGUGGGGAAUAGUGGACAAUGGGGGGAACCCUGAUCCAGCCAUGCCGCGUGUGUGAAGAAGGCCUUAUGGUUGUAAAGCACUUUAAGCGAGGAGGAGGCUCUUUUGGUUAAUACCCAAGAUGAGUGGACGUUACUCGCAGAAUAAGCACCGGCUAACUCUGUGCCAGCAGCCGCCGCAG